AAACCACAGUGUGAGGCACAGCGAGGCAAUCUGACUGUAAGCAUGCAUACAUUCUCUGACACAGUCUGAGCUUGCUAAAGCAAGAAAGUCUAACCUAUUCCAGUGUUCUCUUUCUCAUGAAACAAGCUGUCAUACAGGCGCCAGAAUA